rnacentral:misc_RNA from 1 species
ACAUUCCUUUGCUUUGAUCAACUAGCAAUCAGUGGAAAACAACCAUAAAUAGUGUACUACUAAAGGUGAUAACAAACAAAUCAAAAUAAUGGGAGGGCAAGAACAAAAAUGAAUCAGUCUGGCAGCCCAUAGCUCUAAUAUUUCAAGGUCACAACAUUGUUCUCUCUCAAUCUAGAUAUGAGCUUUUCUUCACAUUGCAAUAUAAAAUAAACUUGGAUCUGCCUAUGAUUAAACAUUACUACAUAUGGUUAAAGCAGGUUUCACUUCCCUCAUUAUUUUGGCUGCUAAUUUAAGAUUGUUCUGAUUUUCCUAAAGGCUAAUGCAGCAAGAGAAGCUGUGCACUCUCAAAACUUCAGGUUUAAGUAGUACAUA